UGACACCACGGAUGUAAAAACUCAACAAACUGGCUGGAAUACUGGAACUGGACUGAGAAAACCUCAGGACUUCAAAUGAUGCUUUUUCUCUUUUCUGGAACACAAGCCAGGCCUAGAAAAUCUGAAGAGCAAGGGAUUCUCUCUGUCCAGUGGAAGCUACCUAAAAGCUAAAAAAUACUUGCUUCAAGAAUUUCCUGUGAGUAUAAAAUGCAAUCCUUAAAAAACA